ensembl:snoRNA
GCUCUGUGAUGAGAAAUAGCCAAAUCUGAACACCAAAAAGAUCAGCUGAUCUAUAUGGUGCAUGAUUUGUACACUGUUCUGGGA